rnacentral:rRNA from 1 species
GAAUUUUCCGCAAUGGGCGAAAGCCUGACGGAGUGACGCCGCGUGGGGGACGAAGGCCUUCGGGUUGUAAACCCCUGUCAGAGGGAAAGCAGGGUGUCGGCGCGAAAACCGCCGGCACUUGACGGUACCUUCAGAGGAAGCCCCGGCCAACUCUGUGCCAGCAGCCGCGGUAAGACAGAGGGGGCAAGCGUUGCUCGGAAUCACUGGGCGUAAAGGGCGCGUAGGCGGGAUGGCAAGUCAGUCGUGAAAUCUCUCGGCUCAACCGAGAAACGUCGGCUGAUACUGCCGUUCUUGAGGGAUGCAGAGGAGACUGGAAUUCCCGGUGUAGCGGUGAAAUGUGUAGAGAUCGGGAGGAACACCGGUGGCGAAGGCGGGUCUCUGGGCAUUUCCUGACGCUGAGGCGCGAAAGCGUGGGGAGCAAACGGG